ACGGCUGAUGGCAUCCGCUGUGACAACCCACACUUUUGCUUUGCCUGAUGACUGCCCUGUGGAGCUCCAUGUAAAAAUUGAGGAUGAAUCAUCCCUGAAGGCAGUUGUGACCUUCAGUGAUGGCACAGCGUGGCUGAAGAAGUAGUCAUCCAAAAGAUAAUAUCACACUAUAAAGGUGUCACGUCCAAGAAAACUGUUGCCCUCUUCCAUGACAGGUGCAGGAAGAUAAUGUAUAUUUUAUUGGGGCAUUUAAUACGACUCCACGGAAGAGCCAAACAAAGGCCUGCCAUGUUGAUAUGCGACGACUCGACAGUCCUUCUGCAGUCCAUGGCUUAUCACUUCUGUGGUGUCAUUUAUCAAAGACCUUCCCUGUAACACAAAAGGGGUGCCAACAGCAGAAAUACACUGGACAACAAAACUCAAAGGCACUCUGGAAAACCAGGAAAAUCUGACGUUUUUGCACAUGCGUGCAAGAUCACAUUGAGCGCCCUUCAGAGGGAAAAUGGCGACUCUGAGGAAGAAGCAGAAGUGAUGGAAGCAAAGAAAGCAGAACAGGAGUUUGACACCCAUAAAUCAGCCUUUUGUUUUCAGACAGCACAAAAACAUCUUCUAUACAGGAUCCACAAGAGAAGGCUAUGGGUCAACCUUCAUGAGAAGCAUGCUGAGGAUGAAACACCGGGCGGUAGAUGCUUCACCAGAGCUCACAGGAACUUCAAAAUCCAGCUGCCUGUUCUCAUGUAGCUGCUGCAUCCUGAAGUGAAGACGCAGCUCCUGUUUUGCCCACCAUGACUAUGGCACGACGCAGACAUGUCAGCAUGUAAACAGUACUGUGGAACAUUUACAUUUCCUAUCUUCAGUUGAUGAUAUGCAUACAUUGUUUUCAGUCCUAACUGACUGUAGUCCAUAACAUUAUUAACACAAGGGUUGUGCACUUUGUUUCAGAUGCACAGAGGAUCAGUCAAAAACAUCUUCCUGGGAGGAAAUGAGUCGAGACUCCCCGUGAUGCAGAGUGAAGAAGGAUUCUGGCAUCAGUCCUUUCUGUUCCAGGACCUCUCUGAGACGCACCGGCGGCUCCAGGUAGUACUGAUGCAGGAAACAAGACCAGAGGAAACAUGAGCGAGAGCAAACGUUCCCCAGUGGAUGGCCACGGACUGUUUGGCCUGAAGGUCCUGGUGAACCUGAACAGCCUCCUCUGGAUUUACAUGCUGCCCCUGCAUCAUGUCCCUGGAAAAACAGAAUGUUUCUUAUGUCUGUCAACUCUUAAUAAACAGAAAUGAUCUCUAGUGUUAAAUACCUCCUGCACCAUUUGGUCAUUGGAUAGUUUUAGGUGGAGUAUAUCACAAACAUUAUCUUUAAACUAUGGCAAGUCCAAGUCUAUGCAAGAACUCACAAUGUAAUAACCACGAUGACUGGAGAACAAAUAUAGGCAUGAUAAAUUAGGCACUGUGAAUAUAUAAUAUGCAGUACCUGGGCAGGUAAGCUCCGAUGGGGAUUGCUGCGAGGUCAAACGGUCCGAAGCGACGUCCGAUCUCCUGGAAGGAAGCGCAGUAGCCGGUAUCUCCUGCGAAGAAGAACCGAUGGUCCGGACCCAGAAUAGACCAGCUGCCCCAUAAAGACUGGGGAAAUACAUAAAUAUAGUUUAACAA